rnacentral:lncRNA from 1 species
CAAGACUCUAAUCUUCAUCGUUCUCUCGCUCCCCUUUUUUAAAAAAAAGUCAAUCCAUCUCAUAGUUAGUCUUCCUCUUUUCCUUCUUCCUUCAACUUUUUCCAGCAGUAUUGUCUUUUCCAUGUCUGACCUUCUAACAACAUGCCCAAAGUAGGACAGCCUUGGUUUUGUUCAGUUCUGUCUCUAGAGAUGUCAGGCUUAUUUUUGAUCCAGGACUUGCUUGUUUGUCUUUCUCUCGCAGUUCAGGGUAUCCACAAAGCAUCACAUUCCAGACAAACCAGUUUUCUUCCUUUCUUCACUCUCCCACUCAUACAUAGUGAUCAGGAGUACAAAAGUAUGGAUGAUCUUGGUCUUGGUCUCUUGGUUGCACACCCUCACACUUCAUGAUCUUUUCUAAUACCGUUAUUGCUGUUCAUCUGAGUCUUCUGAUUUCUUGGUCGAAGUCUCUAUUUGGGUUGAUGAUUGUAGUCACACAGUGCUGUUGUUUCUAGUGUAUCGUGCCUGGAGAACUAGAUGAAUAGUUGAGAAAUAAGUGUAAAUAAGAAAUAAAACCAUGGAUUUAUAGCAACAAAAUGGAAUUUUUGAACAUUUGGUAGUCAUCACCUUCUGUCUUUCUUUAAAAGGAAUUCCCAAACCAGACCUCAUCUGCUGGCUAGAAAAAGGAGACGAUCCAUUUGAACAGAGGCAAUUGGCAAUAACCUGCUUAGGGGAUGAGAAUGGCCAGAAGCUACCUCUUGCAUCAUGGGAAGUUAAGAAGGCUGAAGAAGGAAGAGAAAUAGUUAGAAUUCCAAAAGGACCAAAGAAUCGCAAGCAAAACCAGUGCAAGAAAGGAAAGAAAGAAUCCUCAGAUUCUCAGGAAGGAGAUGGCAAAUUAAAGAGAUACAGAAUAAUCCAGUCAGGAUCAAAACAAGGCAUGGACCCUGCAAAACAUCUGAGUGACAGUGGAACAUUUUUUUAUAAAAGCAGCAUCAAAGGGAAGAAACCAUGGAAGUGCCUGGUAUGUGGGAGGAGCUUCGCUUUUAGUUCUAAUCUUGUUUUACAUCAAAGAACUCAUACAGGAGAGAAGCCUUAUAAAUGCAUGGAAUGU